GCAGCAGGCCGUUCUAUCGCUGUUUCAUUUUUUUGAAAAAGAGGAAAGUCCGGGCAACAUAGAGUACCAUACUUCUUAACGGGAAGAUUUUCGUGAGAGGAUUGUAAUGUAACAGAAAAUAACCGUCCGCCUUUUGGCGAGAUAAGGGUGAAAAGGUGAGGUAAGAGCUCACCGGUAUGCGGGGCAACCCGGGUAGCCGUACAUCAUAUGGGUUGAAAGAUCAAAUAUAUUCUGGUUUUACUUUGAAGCUUGUCUUUAAUUGUAUAUCAAGUUGCUCGUUUGAUUGUUUUUAAACGGCCAGAAGGGGUAGAUCGAUAAAGCAAAUGAGCGAUCAUAGGCUUAGAUAAAUGAUAGAAAUUCUGGUUUAUACCAGGAUACAGGACCCGGCUUACAAGCCUGCUGCUUUU
rnacentral:RNase_P_RNA from 2 species